GGCAGUAGUGGCUGACUGGUUAAGGCUCUGGGUUACUGAUUAGAAGGUUGAGGGUUCAAUCCCCAGUACUGUCA